rnacentral:rRNA from 1 species
UACGUAGGACCCAAGCGUUAUCCGGAUUGACUGGGCGUAAAGAGUUGCGUAGGUGGUUUGUUAAGCGAAUAGUGAAAUCUUGUGGCUCAACCAUAAGACUAUUAUUCGAACUGGCAAACUCGAGAAUGGGAGAGGUAUCUAGAAUUCCUCAUGUAGGGGUAAUAUCCGUAGAUAUGAGGAGGAAUACCAAUGGCGUAGGCAGGAUACUGGCCCAUUUCUGACACUGAGGCACGAAAGCGUGGGGAGCGAACCGG